rnacentral:rRNA from 1 species
UACGUAGGGGGCAAGCGUUGUCCGGAAUCAUUGGGCGUAAAGCGCGUGUAGGCGGCUCGGUAAGUCCGCUCUGAAAGUCCAGGGCUCAACCCUGGGAUGCGGGUGGAUACUGCCGGGCUCGAGUCCGGAAGAGGCGAGUGGAAUUCCCGGUGUAGCGGUGAAAUGCGCAGAUAUCGGGAGGAACACCAGUGGCGAAGGCGGCUUCCUGGCCUGUUCUUGACGCUGAGGCGCGAAAGCUAGGGGAGCAAACGGG